CUACGGGGCGCAGCAGUGGGGGAUAUUGCACAAUGGAGGAAACUCUGAUGCAGCAACGCCGCGUGAGGGAAGAAGGUCUUCGGAUUGUAAACCUAAGUAGUCAGGGACGAUAAUGACGGUACCUGAAGAGUAAGCUCCGGCUAACUACGUGGCCAGCAGCCGCGGUAAUACGUAGGGAGCGAGCGUUAUCCGGAUUUACUGGGUGUAAAGGGUGCGUAGGUGGGUUUGCAAGUCAGGCGUGAAAUACCGAGGCUCAACUUCGGGGCUGCGCUUGAAACUGUAAAUCUUGAGUGAAGUAGAGGCAAGCGGAAUUCCUAGUGUAGCGGUGAAAUGCGUAGAUAUUAGGAGGAACACCAGUGGCGAAAGCGGCUUGCUGGGCUUUUACUGACGCUGAGGCACGAAAGCAUGGGGAGCAAACAGGAUUAGAUACCCGUGUAGUC
rnacentral:rRNA from 1 species